rnacentral:rRNA from 1 species
CCCUUAGAUGUUCUGGGCCGCACGCGCGCUACACUGUUCGACGCAGCGAGUCUUAACCUUGACCGAAAGGUUUGGGUAAUCUUCAGCAAAGUCGAACGUGAUGGGGAUCGAUCAUUGCAAUUAUUGAUCGUGAACGAGGAAUUCCUAGUAAGUGCAAGUCAUCAGCUUGCGCUAAUUACGUCCCUGCCCUUUGUACACACCGCCCGUCGCUACUACCGAUUGAAUGGUUUAGUGAGAUCUCUGGAUUGACGCUGGCUAGGGGGCGACCCUUGGCCAGGCUGUCGAGAAACUGCUCAAACUUGAUCAUUUAGAGGAAGUAAAAGUCGUAACA